rnacentral:misc_RNA from 1 species
GAUGAAGAACGUAGCGAAAUGCGAUACUUGGUGUGAAUUGCAGAAUCCCGUGAACCAUCGAGUCUUUGAACGCAAGUUGCGCCCGAAGCCAUUAGGCCGAGGGCACGCCUGCCUGGGCGUCACACGUCGUUGCCCCCCCAUCUACUCCUUCGGGAUUGCGGGGGGCGGAUGAUGGCCUCCCGUGCGCCUCGCCGCGCGGUUGGCAUAAAUGCCAAGUCCUCGGCGACGCACGCCACGACAAUCGGUGGUUGCGAAACCUCGGUUGCCCGUCGUGUGCGGUCGUCGCGCAUCGAGGGCUCGAAAAAAUUGCCGGGUUCCGGCUCGGCUUUCAACGCGACCCCACGUCAGGCGGGGUUACCCGCUGAAUUUAAGCAUAUCAAUAAGCGGAGGA